UAGCAGAUGAUAGAGUACAAGUCGGGUCUUCCAGAGACAAGAGUUCCAGUGCACCAUUGAAAUUACUUAAGGCCCAUACACACUAGAAGACUUGAAAAAUGUGGAAAAUGAACAAUGUGGAAGAUGUGCAAUUUCCUUUGAACUCCCUGACAAAUGAGACUGAGUGUACACACUGAGCUUUUUUACAAUCUUAACAACGAACCAUCUGCUCUGCUGGGAUUGAGGGGAUUUAGCUGCAUGCAUGGAAGACAUGCCCACCGCUUCAAACGACCAUGGGAGCGUGCAUCGUUCGCUGUUUACACACUAGAACGAUCUGAUCGUUCACAACCGUCGUUAUCGCUCAUAUCUAUGGAAAAUAUCUUCUAGUGUGUAUGGGCCUUUACUUUUUCUCGAGAUUGUGAUGUCUUCUGUAGAAAUGCCAGUUUGGAUUUUGGUAUAGAGGUCCAUGCCAACAUAAUCGGGAACAUUUUAUAUCAUGCAUUGGACACAGACUCACAGCAAUGAAGGUUUCCUCCUGUCCAUGGGCACUAAAAAUAGGCAUUUGACAGAAUUUCAUGGAGCAACAGCUUAAAGAUUGAGGAUGGGCGAAGGCAUGCUGAUUUUUUGUACUCUGCAGUAACCAAUUGGAUCAUAUAAAAAUAAAUGUUCUUUAUUUCACGAG